rnacentral:rRNA from 1 species
GUGAGGAAUAUUGGUCAAUGGGCGGGAGCCUGAACCAGCCAAGUCGCGUGAAGGAAGACGGUUCUAUGAAUUGUAAACUUCUUUUGUGCAGGAAUAAAGUGGGUUACGUGUAACCUUUUGUAUGUACUGUACGAAUAAGGAUCGGCUAACUCCGUGCCAGCAGCCGCGGUAAUACGGAGGAUCCGAGCGUUAUCCGGAUUUAUUGGGUUUAAAGGGGGCGUAGGUGGAUUGAUAAGUCAGCGGUGAAAGUUUGCAGCUUAACUGUAAAAUUGCAGUUGAAACUGUCGGUCUUGAGUGCAAAUGAGGUAGGCGGAAUGUGUUGUGUAGCGGUGAAAUGCUUAGAUAUAACACAGAACUCCGAUUGCGAAGGCAGCUUACUGGGAUGCAACUGACACUGAUGCACGAAAGCGUGGGUAUCAAACAGGAUUAGAUACCCUUGUAGUCC